rnacentral:misc_RNA from 1 species
ACAAACUUGGUCAUUUAGAGGAAGUAAAAGUCGUAACAAGGUUUCCGUAGGUGAACCUGCGGAAGGAUCAUUACCAAUCUUUUGCGGGAUCCCCGUGAUCUCGCGAAAACUCAGUAUUUAAAACCCAACUCAAUAAAUGUAAACAUACUGUAUCAAUCAUGAAUAUGUAAUUAAAGAUCACUUUCAACAACGGAUCUCUUGGCUCUCAGAGACAGACAAACUUGGUCAUUUAGAGGAAGUAAAAGUCGUAACAAGGUUUCCGUAGGUGAACCUGCGGAAGGAUCAUUACCAAUCUUUUGCGGGAUCCCCGUGAUCUCGCGAAAACUCAGUAUUUAAAACCCAACUCAAUAAAUGUAAACAUACUGUAUCAAUCAUGAAUAUGUAAUUAAAGAUCACUUUCAACAACGGAUCUCUUGGCUCUCGCAUCGAUGAAGAACGCAGC